GAGUGGAAGGUGGUGCUGUGGGCCCAGGGCUGGCUGCAUCUGCCAGGUGUGCCCUGCAUUCAGGCAGAACUCGAGGGAGGACUCCCAAUAGAAGAGCGGGCACAGUGCGAGCUGGCACUCUCGUCCCCACCCAGCAGGAGGGGCUCCCUGGGAUGACAACACCCUGGAAAAGGAGAUGCCACAGCCAGAACUGGAAGCCCGGACUGCCAGCCCGGGAUCCGGGCCCCCCUGCACUGCAAGGCUACCUCAAACUGCAAGCAGAGUUGCGGCACCUGCCUCUGUGCCAUCUCAGAACCUGCCCCUGGGUGAGGGGCUGAGCUGCCUGUCCCAGGAAGAAUGCAAGCCUCGCCGAUGGGGAGGAGGCAGACAGAGCUCGGCCCUGAGUGUGGAGGC
rnacentral:lncRNA from 10 species